rnacentral:rRNA from 1 species
AUACGAGGGGUGCAAGCGUUAUUCGGAAUCAUUGGGCGUAAAGGGUGUGUAGGCGGCGUACUAAGUCAACUGUUAAAUCCCCCAGCCUAACUGGGGACCAGCGGUAGAUACUGGUAUGCUAGAGGAUGGAAGAGAGAAGCGGAAUUCUUGGAGUAGCGGUAAAAUGCGUAGAUCUCAAGAGGAACACCGAUGGCGAAGGCAGUUUCUUGGUACAUUUCUGACGCUAAGGCACGAAAGCGUGGGGAGCAAACGGGAUUAGAAACCCUAGUAGUCC